AACGAACGCUGGCGGCAGGCCUAACACAUGCAAGUCGAACGCCCUAGCAAUAGGGAGUGGCAGACGGGUGAGUAACGCGUGGGAACGUGCCUUUCGGUUCGGAAUAACUCAGGGAAACUUGAGCUAAUACCGGAUACGCCCUUCCGGGGGAAAGAUUUAUUGCCGAAAGAUCGGCCCGCGUCCGAUUAGCUAGUUGGUGAGGUAAAGGCUCACCAAGGCGACGAUCGGUAGCUGGUCUGAGAGGAUGAUCAGCCACACUGGGACUGAGACACGGCCCAGACUCCUACGGGAGGCAGCAGUGGGGAAUAUUGGACAAUGGGCGCAAGCCUGAUCCAGCCAUGCCGCGUGAGUGAUGAAGGCCCUAGGGUUGUAAAGCUCUUUCGCCAGGGACGAUAAUGACGGUACCUGGAUAAGAAGCCCCGGCUAACUUCGUG
rnacentral:rRNA from 1 species